AUGCAGGCAGAAUCGGACACGAUUGAACUGGAAAAGGAGCAUCUGAGCCCGGGCUCAGAUGCGGAAAAAUCAGCUAUCAUGUUUAGCAAAAAUACAAAAGUUGAAGAUAAAGAUGACCUGAUGAAGCAGCUGAACAUUGCAAAGGAUGGCUUCUCAGGGAAAUAUUUUGGACUGCCGGUGUACAUCGGUAAAUCUAAAGCAAAGGCAUUUCAAUACUUGAAGGAGAAAGUGUGGAAGAUAUUGCAGGGAUGGAAAGAGAAGUUGCUCUCUAAAGCAGGAAAGGAGAUCCUAAUCAAGGCGGUUGCGCAGGCCAUACAUGUUUAUGCCAUGGCAUGUUUUGAUCUUACUAAAUCAUUGUGUGAUGAGAUCAGCUCGAUGAUAGGGCAAUACUGGUGGAGUAAUAUGAACAAAGAGAACAAGAUACAUUGGGUGAGUUGGGAAAAUAGGACAAAGCCAAAGAAAGAUGGCGGGCUGGGAUUUAGAGAUCUGCAUUCUUUCAACCUCGGCCAUGCUAGCAAGGCAAGCCUGGAGAAUUUUAAAGAAUCUCAUGUCCCUAUGCGCCGAAAUACUGUCAGCUAA
rnacentral:rRNA from 1 species